UACGUAGGGGGCAAGCGUUGUCCGGAUUUAUUGGGCGUAAAGAGCGUGUAGGCGGCCAGACAGGUCAGCUGUGAAAACUCGAGGCUCAACCUCGAGACGUCGGUUGAAACCGUCUGGCUAGAGUCCGGAAGAGGAGAGUGGAAUUCCCGGUGUAGCGGUGAAAUGCGCAGAUAUCGGGAAGAACACCCGUGGCGAAGGCGGCUCUCUGGGACGGUACUGAUGCUGAGACGCGAAAGCGUGGGGAGCGAACAGG
rnacentral:rRNA from 1 species